CCUACGGGAGGCAGCAGUGGGGAAUAUUGGGCAAUGGGCGCAAGCCUGACCCAGCAACGCCGCGUGAAGGAAGAAGGCUUUCGGGUUGUAAACUUCUUUUUUCAGGGACGACGCAAGUGACGGUACCUGACUAAUAAUCCACGGCUAACUACGUGCCAGCAGCAGCGGUAAUACGUAGGUGGCAAGCGUUAUCCGGAUUUACUGGGUGUAAAGGGCGAGUAGGGGGGGAAGCAAGUCAGAUGUGAAAGCCACGGGCUCAACCUUGUGACUGCAUUUGAAACUGUUUUUCUUGAGUACUGGAGAGGCAAUCGGAAUUCGGUGUGUAGCGGUGAAAUGCGUAGAUAUACGGAGGAACACCAGUGGCGAAGGCGGAUUGCUGGACAGUAACUGACGCUGAGGCGCGAAAGCGUGGGGAGCAAACAGGAUUAGAUACCCUGGUAGUC
rnacentral:rRNA from 1 species